rnacentral:rRNA from 1 species
CCCUUAGAUGUCCUGGGCCGCACGCGUGCUACACUGAUGCAUACAGCGAGUACUCCCAGCUCCGAGAGGCUGCUGGUAAUCAGCAAUAUGCAUCGUGAUGGGGAUAGAUCUUUGGAAUUAUAGAUCUUGAACGAGGAAUUCCUAGUAAUCGCAGGUCAUCACCCUGCGUUGACUAAGUCCCUGCCCUUUGUACACACCGCCCGUCGCUCCUACCGAGUUCGAGUGAUCCGGUGAAUCAUUCGGACCGCGGCCCCUAGGCAUGCGGAAAGUCUAGUAAACCAUAUCACUUAGAGGAAGGAGAAGUCGUAACA